CGACUGCAGAGUAGUAAGUACAACUCAAAAAAUAAAUUUAAGUUUCUCUGAAAAAAACUGUGUAUCUUUACAAAUUAUUCUUAUAAUCGAGCCCGUCCCGAAUUUUUACCCUGGACGUGUCCAGGCUAUCCCUGAAUAUCGUACGCUAUUCACUGUGUAUGAUAUUGCGCCCCCGCACUAUGAUAUAUGACAACGUAACGCAGGUUCCGAUUAAAAUUGCAUCGGGGCGAGUUGAUGUAUCGGCGCCGUGUACUCGUCAGUGACAUUAUUGAUUUCGAUUAAUAAAAAAAAAAGAUAAUAAUAAUAAUAAUAAUAAUAAAAAGAUUUGGUUUUUUUUUUUUUGAAACUCCGAGGCGAAGCGAACGUCCUCGCGGUCGUAAAAUCGUAACUGUAAUGUUAUGAUAUCGUUGUUGUGUUUGGUUUUUUUUUUUUUUUUUUUACUCUCGUUCUGUCUGCUAACAAUACUUUACGACCGGAAAACAUCGACAUCUGCAAGAGUACGGUUUCCGGUGGCGAAUUUCGACUGUACAAUAUAAUAAUAUAGUCGGUGCGCCGUCGUCGUUGUGGAUGUUAUUUUUUUGAUCAUUGUCGUCGCCGGAUGGUUUUC